rnacentral:lncRNA from 1 species
GUGAGUACCACUUACUAAGGAACUUUCUCUCAUUAAAGCAGAUACUUUUAGGCCCGCUGAACGUGGGGCCAUCCUACCUACCAAUGACUGUAGGACUGGCUGCCUCUGGAUCCUUUCAACACAGCCACGUGGAGUCACAAUGCAGCCUUCAGAGAAGAUUUACUGUUAACUAAAGUCAACCUGACCUUUGCAAAUCCUUAUUUCUGGAAGAGUGGACUGACUUGUUGGGAUUAAUGGCUCCUAAUAAGCCGAGUCGCCACAGGGUCAGCAGGCACACGCACAAGAAUAUCUAACAGAUCUGACAGUGCCUCAUGAGGAUGCCAUACAAACCCAUGUCACAUCCUGAGCCAGAGACUGAGAUGAACACAGACUGAAACUGGAUUCUCGAGUUCUCUGCAGGAUUAACUCACGUGCCCAGCGAGGGCACUGGGAAACACAGUGGCUUCCUGCUCACCCGUCCUGUCCCCAAGCAGCCUCUCUAUAUGGCUAGGCUAGGACAAAAAAUGUGCCAGUUGAAAACAGCAUGGUGGUCUCAAGGUAGUCUAGCUGUUGUGUCGUCUCAGGGUUCUCUGAAGAAGGCACAUCCAAAGA